CCCGCUUUUAUAAGAAAAUGUAAGUGAUCGCGUCGGCGCCUCACGCACACACAACAUUAUUUUUUUAUGACUGAGCACUGUUCUUAAUUCACUUACCCAGCAACAUCACCUAAAAUAUAAAUAAAGCUUAAAUAUAAUAAUUCAAUUUAUUGCAUUAGGCAAAUCGAAUGCAAGCACAUGAGAACAAAUAAAUAAGUCUAGGCCUGCUAAUAAUAAUUAAUGCAACACAUCUCAAACGAGCGUGUAUAACCAUGCAAUAUAUUUGUUUAUUUCGUUGUGCUAACCUUAAGGUUUUUUUUAUGCCAUUGCAGCACUUUUCCAUUAUUUUUUCUAAGUAAACAUGCGCGUAAAAAACAAAACAAACCAAAAAACAAAAACAUGUUUGACCGUUGAGCUCGUCUGUUAUUUUAUUUGUUUAGCUGCUUCAAGCCAAGCGCGCACUUGCAGUGUUACUAUCGCCACUUAUAUGCAUUUUUGGGCGUGUUAUUUUAUUAUUAUUAUUAUUAUUAUUAUUAUUAUUAUUAUUAUUAGCGUAUUAUUAUUAUUAUUAUUAUUAUUAUUAUUAUUAUUAUUAUCCAUAUUAAGAAGUGAAAGUUCAGCUGGAAUGGCCGGUGUGUCCUUUAAACGGAGAAAAGUCAGCAAAUACGGUGCUUGCGCAACAGAGGUGGCCGGAGGAAUGGCUAAGCUUCAUUCAGGGAGACAGAUUUGUAAUGCUUCCUACAAUUACGAACAUUUACACCUUAAUUAAAGCUUCCUUUGGACAAAAUAAGAAUAAAGCUAAAAUAUUAUUAUCCACACAUACAUUAUCCAGACGCUAGUCCACACGUACGUUAUCCAGGCGUUUAUCCACACUCACGUUAUCCAGACGUUUAUCCACACGUACGUUAUCCAGACGCAAAGUAAAAAAUAAACUUUCUCAACUACGUCGCCGCCAUCGCCGCCGCGCACUUUGAGCGCAGCUCCAACACGUGACCGUGACGUCUAACGUCUCAUAUCUGACGUCUGACGCCUGAAUACUAUGGGAUUUUGGCCAGACGGCUGGCGUGCGUAUACACGUUAGUUCUCCUCUCAGUUUGCUUAGCAAUCAUCACAUUUUGUUGAAGUCACCCCUCAUACAUUUUGGCUUCAGUUCAAUACAAUGGAAGGAAGCGGCGUCGCGUCGUCCAUCUUUUUUUUACAGUCUAUGGUAUGAAUGUGCAGCGAGAGUCAAUCCCGUAUUCUCUUAUUAGUAACCAUGACGACAGUGACCAACGUAAUAUUAAAGAUGGCGAAGUCCAUAAGACUGAAAAGUAUUAUCACUUUUCACAUGACAAGAGACUAACUGAACCACGAGUUCAUCCAUCAAAACUUCAUUAACCAACAGCAGUAUGUAAACACACGCUAGCCAGAGUCUUUAACCGCUGCACACGCGUGUCACGUCCUUUGCGACAUCUCGCGCAUGACACGCAAUUUGAAAAGAAACACAAAACUGAGAUGAGCCGCUCCGGUGGAGAACAGACUGGAUCUAACACCUUAAGAUGACGCACAGCUCACAUCUCUGUCGCAUUGCGUACUGGAUCUCCUCAGUAUCUCUGGAUUCAGGAGUUUUUCCUCUGAAUCUCUUUGGUUUCACACUGGCAUACGGAGCAUCAUUGGCUGAAUCCGGUUCAGAAAGAGGCUCGUCAUGGACUGAAACUCUUCGAGAUGCGUCAGAAUAGAGAUCAUUCUGAAAUACAAGAAAAUAAUUAAUGAAGACAAAUCCCAAG